rnacentral:rRNA from 1 species
UACGUAGGGGCCGAGCGUUGUCCGGAAUUACUGGGCGUAAAGCGCGUGUAGGCGGUCUCGCAAGUCGGAUGUGAAAGCCCAGGGCUCAACCCUGGAAGUGCACUCGAUACUGCGAGGCUAGAGUCCCGGAGAGGAUGGUGGAACUCUCGGUGUAGAGGUGAAAUUCGUAGAUAUCGAGAAGAACACCGGUGGCGAAGGCGGCCAUCUGGACGGUGACUGACGCUGAGACGCGAAAGCGUGGGGAGCAAACAGG